GGAGGGUGCGAGCGUUGUCCGGAAUCACUGGGCGUAAAGGGCGCGUAGGUGGCCCGUCAAGCGCGCGGUGAAAGCCCGGGGCUCAACCCCGGGUCGGCCGUGCGGACUGGCGGGCUCGAGCACUGUAGGGGCGGGUGGAAUUCCGGGUGUAGCGGUGGAAUGCGUAGAGAUCCGGAAGAACACCGGUGGCGAAGGCGGCCCGCUGGGCAGGAAGGGGUGGGUAACCAUCCCGGCUGACACUGAGGCGCGACAGCGUGGGGAGCAAACAGGAUUAGAUACCCUGGUAGUCCACGCCGUAAACGAUGGGCACUAGGUGCCUGGGGGAGCGACCCCCCGGGUGCCGGCGCUAACGCAUUAAGUGCCCCGCCUGGGGAGUACGGCCGCAAGGCUG
rnacentral:rRNA from 1 species